CCCUGGUCGGGGACUCUAGAGAUUAGAGUUUGAUCCUGGCUCAGAUUGAACGCUGGCGGCAGGCCUAACACAUGCAAGUCGAGCGGCAGCACGGGAAGCUUGCUUCCUGGUGGCGAGCGGCGGACGGGUGAGUAAUGCAUAGAAAUCUGCCCGGUAGUGGGGGAUAACCUGGGGAAACCCAGGCUAAUACCGCAUACGUCCUACGGGAGAAAGCAGGGGAUCUUCGGACCUUGCGCUAUCGGAUGAGUCUAUGUCGGAUUAGCUUGUUGGUGAGGUAAUGGCUCACCAAGGCGACGAUCCGUAGCUGGUCUGAGAGGAUGAUCAGCCACAUCGGGACUGAGACACGGCCCGAACUCCUACGGGAGGCAGCAGUGGGGAAUAUCGGACAAUGGGCGAAAGCCUGAUCCAGCCAUGCCGCGUGUGUGAAGAAGGCCUUCGGGUUGUAAAGCACUUUCAGUGGGGAAGAAAGCCUUGGGGCUAAUACCCUCGAGGAAGGACAUCACCCACAGAAGAAGCACCGGCUAACUCCGUGCCAGCAGUCGCGGUAAUACGGAGGGUGCGAGCGUUAAUCGGAAUUACUGGGCGUAAAGCGCGCGUAGGCGGUCUGAUAAGCCGGUUGUGAAAGCCCCGGGCUCAACCUGGGAACGGCAUCCGGAACUGUCAGGCUAGAGUGCAGGAGAGGAAGGUAGAAUUCCCGGUGUAGCGGUGAAAUGCGUAGAGAUCGGGAGGAAUACCGGUGGCGAAGGCGGCCUUCUGGACUGACACUGACGCUGAGGUGCGAAAGCGUGGGUAGCAAACAGGAUUAGAUACCCUGGUAGUCCACGCCGUAAACGAUGUCGACUAGCCGUUGGGCUCCUUGAGAGCUUUGUGGCGCAGUUAACGCGAUAAGUCGACCGCCUGGGGAGUACGGCCGCAAGGUUAAAACUCAAUGAAUUGACGGGGGCCCGCACAAGCGGUGGAGCAUGUGGUUUAAUUCGAUGCAACGCGAAGAACCUUACCUACCCUUGACAUCGUGCGAACUUGGUAGAGAUACCUUGGUGCCUUCGGGAGCGCACAGACAGUGCUGCAUGCUGUCGUCAGCUCGUGUGUGAAAUGUUGGGUUAAGUCCGUACGAGCGCACCCUGUCCUUAUUUGCAAGCGCGUUAUUGCGACCUCUAGGACUGCGUGACAACGAGAGUGGAACACGUCAGUCUCAUGGCUUACGGUUAGGCUACAACGUGCUCACAUGGGCCGUACAAAGGU
rnacentral:rRNA from 1 species